rnacentral:rRNA from 1 species
GACGAACGCUGGCGGCGUGCUUAACACAUGCAAGUCGUACGGUAAGGCCCUUUCGGGGGUACACGAGUGGCGAACGGGUGAGUAACACGUGAGUAACCUGCCCACAACUUUGGGAUAACGCUAGGAAACUGGUGCUAAUACUGGAUAUGUGCUCCUGCUGCAUGGUGGGGGUUGGAAAGCUCCGGCGGUUGUGGAUGGACUCGCGGCCUAUCAGCUUGUUGGUGGGGUAGUGGCCUACCAAGGCGGCGACGGGGAGCCGGCCUGAGAGGGUGAGCGGCCACAUUGGGACUGAGAUACGGCCCAGACUCCUACGGGAGGCAGCAGUGGGGAAUACUGCACAAUGGGCGCAAGCCUGAUGCAGCAACGCCGCGUGCGGGAUGACGGCCUUCGGGUUGUAAACCGCUUUCAGCAGGGACGAAGCUUUUUGUGACGGUACCUGCAGAAGAAGCACCGGCUAACUACGUG